rnacentral:rRNA from 1 species
UACGAAGGGGGCUAGCGUUGUUCGGAAUCACUGGGCGUAAAGGGCGCGUAGGCGGCUUGAUAAGUCGGGGGUGAAAGCCUGUGGCUCAACCACAGAAUUGCCUUCGAUACUGUCGGGCUUGAGACCGGAAGAGGUAAGUGGAACUGCGAGUGUAGAGGUGAAAUUCGUAGAUAUUCGCAAGAACACCAGUGGCGAAGGCGGCUUACUG